CGCCGGUAGGCAUCUUUCCGGUGGGGCCUGAUGGUCGGCCCAAGGCUUCUUCCAGGUGGGGCCUGAUGGUCGGCCCAGCCCGUUCUGGCGCAGGCGAGUGUUUAUAGUAGCGCCAUCUUGCAUUGGCUCAUGCUGCCCCCCGGAACUCGUUCUUGAUUCGCUUGGACGGCUUCCUCUAGAGUCCGGGUUGAUGGGUGGUCUUCAGGACAGCAUGUGGGUAGUUUUAAGCCACUCGGCGGUGACUGAAAAAUCCGAGGUGGUAGCGUGGGGAUUCGAACCCGCGUCGUCCAUCACGCGGUGAAUGUGGGCCCAGUACGCUACCAGUUCAG